UACGGGGGGGGUAAGCGUUGUCCGGAUUUACUGGGCGUAAAGAGCGCGCAGGCGGUCGUUCAAGUCGCGUGUGAAAGCCCCCGGCUCAACUGGGGAGGGUCACGCGAUACUGAUCGACUCGAAGGCAGGAGAGGGUAGUGGAAUUCCCGGUGUAGUGGUGAAAUGCGUAGAUAUCGGGAGGAACACCAGUGGCGAAGGCGACUACCUGGCCUGUUCUUGACGCUGAGGCGCGAAAGCUAGGGGAGCAAACGGG
rnacentral:rRNA from 1 species